rnacentral:rRNA from 1 species
GCGACCCCAUGUCAAGCAGGAUUACUCACUGACUUUAAGCAUAUCAAUAAGUGGAGAAAAAGAAACUUAAAAGGAUUCUCUUAGUAACAGCACGCAAAUCGGGAAUAGUGUAGCCUUAGAAUCAGGCGGCUCCAUCAUCUGAAUUGUAGUUUGGAGAAGCGUCAUCAACGAUGGACCAGGCCUAAGUCACUUGGAAGAGGGCGCCAGAUAGGGUGAGAUCUUCGUUGUGCCCGUACCCUAUAGCACCACGAGGCGUUGUCUAUAAGUUGGAUAGUUUGAGAAUGCAGCCCAAAUCAGGCGGUGAAUUCCAUCUAAGGAUAAAUACGGGUGAGAUACCGAUAGCGAAAAAGUACCGUGAGGGAAAAAUGAAAAGGACUUUGAAAAUAAAGUCAAAGAGUGCUUGAAAUCAUCGGGAGUUAAGUAGAUUGGGGCCGGUGAUAUGCCCCAAUCUGAUGUGGAAUGGCAAUGAGCCAAUUUACUGAUCGACUCAAGGCAUGGACCAGUAUGGAUUGGGGGCGGCCCAAGCCUGGGCUAUCAUUACACUUAUGGAAUGUCAUCUCCUCAAUUAUGACAGAGAGUGUGUGCCUCUACUAUUCUUCGGCUACUGUGCUUCGGACAUUGGCAUGUUGGCUCCCCAUUUGACCAUUCUUAAAACAUGAACUAAGGAGUUUGACAUGUGUGCGAGUCAAUAGAUGAGUUAACCCUUAAGGUGUAAGGAAGAUGAUUGGUGGGAUCCCCCUAAGGGGUGCACUGCCGUUCGACCUUGAUCUUUUGAGAAGAGUUCAAGUGUGAGCAAACCUGUCAGGACCCGAAGGAUUAUGAACUAUGUCUGAGUGGGGCACAACCAGAGCAAACAUUGGUAGAGGCCAACUUGGUUAUAGGGGCGAAAGACUAUCCAAAUCAUCUAUUAGCUGGUUUGCUCCAAAGUUUCCGUCAAGAUAGCUAGAGCUCGCGAGCGAGUUCUAUUGGGUAAAGUCAAUGAUUAGAGGCCUCAGUGGCACAAUGCCCUCUACCUAUUCUCACACUUUAAAUAGGUAGGACAGCGUGGAUACUUUGUUGAGCUAUGCUACCGAAUCAAGAGCUCAAAUUAGUCUAUUUUAGUUAAGCAGAAUAGGCGAUGCGGGAUGAACCAAAAGCUGGGUUACGGUGCCAAACUUUGUGGUAACCUAGAUCCCACAAAGGGUUUUAGUCGAUUAAGAUAGCAAGAUGGUGGUCAAGGAAGUCGAAAUCCACUAAGGAGCAUGUAACAGCUCACCUGUCGAAUCAAAUAGCCCCAAAAAUAGAUGGCGCUUAAGCGUAUGACCUACACCUGGCCGUCGGGGCAAGUACCAGGCCCCGAUGAGUAGAAAGGAACGGUGGUCACUGCAAAAACCUUGGGCUCGAUCCCGAGCAGAGCGGCCAUUGUUACAGUUCUUAUUGGUAGUAGCAAAUAUUCAAAUGAAAACUUUGAAGGCCGAAGAGGGGAAAGUUUCUAUGUGAAUGACACUUGCACAUGGGUUAGUCGAUCCUAAGGGUCAGGGGAAUGUUAGGAAGUCUGGAUACAUCGGCGGGAGCCUCGGGAAGAGUUUGCCCACCCAGGAAUUGGCUCAGCCGGCAUGAUGUCCAAUGCGCUCCCGGUGGCCUUUGAAAAUCCUAAGGACCGAAUGUCAUCCACGCUCGGUGGUACUCAUAACUGCAUCAAGUCUCCAAGGUGAAAAGCCUCUGGUCGGAAUAAGGUAGGAAAGGUAGUCGGUAACUUCGGGAAACGGAUUGGCUCUGAGGGAUGGGCACAGGGGUCCCAGUAAAGAAUCCGUCGAUUGUCGGUGGACUGCUUGAGCUACUUCCGUGGUGAGAGCGGGUCAUCGGGUGGACGAUCUGGGAAUGGAUCUUUUGAGGGCCUUCUCCACGCGUCAGACAGCCAACUCAGAACUGGUAUGGACAAGGGAAAUCUAAUUGUUUAAUUAAAAUAAAGCAUUGCGAUGGUCCCAAUGGAUGCUCACGCAAUGUUAUUUUUUCCCAGUGCCCUGAAUGUAAAAGUGAAAAAAUUCAACCAAGCGCAGGUAAACGGCGGGAGUAACUAUGACUCUGUUAAGGUAGCCAAAUGCCUCAUCAUUUAAUUAGUGAUGUGCAUGAGUGGAUUAACGAGAUUCCCACUGUCUCUUUCUACUAUCCGGCAAAACCAUAGCCAAGGGAACGGGCUUGACAGAAUCACGAGGGAAAGAAGACCCUAUUGAGCUUGACUCUAGUCCAACUUUGUAAAAUGACUUAAGAGGUGUAGUAUAAGUGGGAGCCGAAAGACGAAAGUGAAAUACCACUACUUUUAACGUUAUUUUACUUAUUCCACAAAUCGAAAGCAUGGCACUGCCCCUCUUUUUGGACCCAAGACUCGCUCUGCGGGCCGAUCCAGGUGGAAGACAUUGUCAGGUGUGGAGUAUGGCUCGAGAGGCACAUCCAUUAAAAGAUAACGCAGGUUUCCUAAGAGGAGCUCAAUGAGAACAGAAAUCUCAUGUGGAACAGAAGGGUAAAAACUCAUUUGGUUCUGAUUUCCAGUACAAAUAUAAACUGGGAAAGUGUGGCCUAACGAUCCUUUAGACUUUCAAAAUUCAAAGACAGAUAUGCCAGAAAAGUUACCACAGGGACAAAUGGUUUGUGGCAGCCAAGCGUUCAUAGCGACGUUGCUUUUGAUCCUUUGAUGUCGGCUCUUCCUAUCAUUGUGAAUCAGAAGUUACCAAGUGUUGGAUUGUUCACCAACAAAAAAGGAACGUGAGCAGAGUUUAGACCAUCGUGAGACAUGUUAGUUUUACCCUACUAAUGACAGUGUUACAAUAGUAAUUCAACUUAGUCCGAGAAGAAUCGUUGAUUCACACAAUUGGUCUUUGUGCUUGGUUGAAAAGCCAGUGGCGUGAGGCUAUCGUCCUCUAGAUUAUGAUUGAAUGCCUUUAAGUUAGAAUCCGGGAUAGAAGCAAUGCAUGUGCCCUCCAUCCGCUUGCCGUCCAGCAUCAGAGGACUCGGCCCCUCAGGGCACGUGUCGUUGGCUAAGCCAUCGCGGCUAAAGGGUACAAUUUCCAUAAAGCAUCAGGUAGAAUCCUUUUCAGAUGACUUAAAUAUGCGAUGGGGUUUUGUAAGUGGAAGAGUGGCCUUGCUGCAACGAUCACUGAGAUUCAGCCCUUUCCCUUUGUCGCUC